CUUAGCUUGCUAAGGCUGAUGGCGACCGGCGCACGGGUGAGUAACACGUAUCCAACCUGCCGUCUACUCUUGGCCAGCCUUCUGAAAGGAAGAUUAAUCCAGGAUGGGAUCAUGAGUUCACAUGUCCGCAUGAUUAAAGGUAUUUUCCGGUAGACGAUGGGGAUGCGUUCCAUUAGAUAGUAGGCGGGGUAACGGCCCACCUAGUCAACGAUGGAUAGGGGUUCUGAGAGGAAGGUCCCCCACAUUGGAACUGAGACACGGUCCAAACUCCUACGGGAGGCAGCAGUGAGGAAUAUUGGUCAAUGGGCGAUAGCCUGAACCAGCCAAGUAGCGUGAAGGAUGACUGCCCUAUGGGUUGUAAACUUCUUUUAUAAAGGAAUAAAGUCGGGUAUGCAUACCCGUUUGCAUGUACUUUAUGAAUAAGGAUCGGCUAACUCCGUGCCAGCAGCCGCGGUAAUACGGAGGAUCCGAGCGUUAUCCGGAUUUAUUGGGUUUAAAGGGAGCGUAGAUGGAUGUUUAAGUCAGUUGUGAAAGUUUGCGGCUCAACCGUAAAAUUGCAGUUGAUACUGGAUGUCUUGAGUGCAGUUGAGGCAGGCGGAAUUCGUGGUGUAGCGGUGAAAUGCUUAGAUAUCACGAAGAACU
rnacentral:rRNA from 1 species